CAUUAAAUUAUUGCAUAUAUGACCAUAUUGUUAUUUUGAUUAAACAUAUAGCCGUCCACAAUUGUUAAAAGAAUCAGAUUCCUCCAAAAUUGCUCUGGAUCGAAGUACUGCCUCUGUGUGUGAGACAGAUCAUAGUGAAAGGAGAACACAUAGGAAGAUCAAACCAAAUGUUGCUAAAGGGCGUGGAUCAAAACGAGCUCGGGGUAAAACCUCAAAGAAGGAACCUAGAGCUUCCAAGUCAACGCUGGUGACUCUUCGGGCUUCCCAGGAAGAAGAUGAAGAUGAUACUGAAGAUUUUGAAUCUGACUAUGAAGAAGAAAACUAUCAUCUUGCCCCAGAAGAAUUAAACAAGGCACCAGUGUUUGUUCCCAUUGGUCUGAGAUCCCCUGAACCUGUUUCUGCUCAGAUUGAGGAAACAAUGGAAGAGCUUGAAAUAACUGAGAAUGUUGCAGAUAUAGGAUGUGUAACUAUUGUUGAACAUGAGCUUUCAAACACAGAUGUAUCUACUCAGGAAGUAAAAGAAGAAAAAAAUUUGAAUACAUCAUCAUUUGAAAUAACCACAGGUGAACAGACCCAAGAUGAACCAGGCACCAAUGAUGGAAGUACUGAAGCUGCCAUAACUUUACUAACAAUGGGAGAUCUAGUAUUGCAGUCAGAGAUCAGCACUGAACAGGGUGAUGAUAAUGUAAAUCACAAAAUUGUUCAUGAAUAUCAGGAGGUUUUUUCACCUGUCAUUAGUACAUCUCCUGCAUCAUUUGAAGAAAACAAGAUUGUACUGGAGGAACAAAGUACUAGAGAAGAAGUUGGUUUAAUGGAAGAAGUCAAGAAGAAUGCUACAUUGACCAGGAAUACAACUUCUAAAGUGACCAAUAAUUUGAGAAUGAGAAGUAGAUUUGUCAAGCCAAAGCCAAAUCUUGAGAAGGUUUUACGGACCAACAGGUUUCAUGCUCAUCAGAAAGUUCCCGGUUUUUGUGUUUUAAAGGGGGAAGAAGUAGAAAUUCAAAGAGAAACUGAGAAAAAUGCUUCCAAAGCAACAGAAUUGGGAGAGAAAAGCUUUGGGCAAGUUACAACAACAGAGAGUAAGGAGCAGAACAAAUUGGCAUCUGUACAUGAUAUCAAAGGGACCAGUAUUUCACAAGAAGCAAACUUAACAGAAAGAAAUGAAGAUCAAGAGGAGAGAUCUCAAGAGGUUGAGAUAGUGUCAGUUACUCCAGUUGUUUCCUCUGAGCAAGGACCCCAUACCCUUGAUUCGGCUAGGGAUCUUGGUGAGAGUUCUUUUGAAGAGCCCCUGAGAAAGAACACAGAAGGAGACAGUGUGCUCAAACAUCAUGUGCCAGAGUGUAUACCAACCAGUAUUCCAGAAGUCCAACAAGAGAGUGUAAUCAAUUCUGAAGACCUAACAGUGAAUCUGUUUGCUGAUGUACAAGAUGGAGAGGAUGAACAAGCAUUCAUUUUAACUCUGGUAGAAAUCCCAACCAAUGCUACAGAAGAAUUUACGGAUGCUGCUCAGUUAAUGCCAAACCCUUUACUACCAGCACCCAUAUUGGUCAAAUCCAUUAAUACUGAAGAAAUAGGCGAUAUGAGUAAGCGUUUACCACUAACUUCAGUUGGUCAAGAUGCCAUGUGUUUAUCUAAUUCUGCAAGAGAUGCUUCUGAACAGCCUCCUGCUAAUUUGGAUCUUAUAUCUAGGAAGAGAUCUCAUUGCACUCUUGAUGAAAGCAACCAUGUUUCUCCUGCCAAAAAAAUGUCUCUCACUUCAGAAGAUGGUUGUCAACAAUAUACUUCUGAGGUGUGUUCAGAGAAAUUAAAUGUUUUUGAGGAAACAGGGGACUCUUACAAGGAACGAGGUAUUUUCCCUACCUCAGGAUGCACACAAGCAACUCCAGAACCUCAAAAAGAGAAACUUGAAACAACUUCUCAGAAUAUAGGGUCUAGGUCUGUUGGUAGAAUAAGAGAUAUGUGUAUAGAAAAGAAUAUGCCUCAGUUGCCUCAGGAUGAGAUGGUUGUAUCUGAUAAAGAAAAAGGAACAGAUUCUGCUUCUACAUCUGAACAAAUGGGUAGCAGAGUGGCACCUUCAAAAACUCCACUGUCCAGGCGUGGCAGAAGACCCCUGGGAUUUUUAUCUUUAAUAUGCUCAAAGAAUAAUUUGGAAUCUGAUGAACCUACUCACGUCCAUAGUAAGAAGCGCGUAAAACCUCUUAUACCUGUAUCGAGGAGGAAUUUGAAACAAUCUAAUCCACUUAGUGAAGGAGAGAAAAAAAAUCAAGAGUCCUCUGAUCUGCUUCCAUCUCCAAGUGUUGCUACUAAUACUCAGUCAGAGAAUAUUGACAGUUCAUCAGCUCAGGUUUCUUGUGAUCAGCCCUUACUGAAAGAAGAACAUAAAAGUGGCCAACACCGGGCACCUGAUCAGGAGCCAACCACAGUCUCUGAAUAUUUCUUCAGUGAUAUCUUCAUUGAAGUAGAUGAAACAGAAUGAAACAGUCUUUUGGGUUUCUUCUUCUUUUUUUCUUUUUUUAAGUAUUGGAAUUUCCAGAAUCAAUUACAUCAGCAAAGCAGCAUUUAGAAAAAAGCAUCACUGUUUAUUUUUCUUUAGGUCAAGUUUGAACAUCUAAUGAGCUCAAGUUAAAGCUUUUAUAAUUAAUGGAAAACAUUGUUGAGGUUCCUUUGGUUCUGAUUGAUUCAGCAUUUUGGAAAUACCAAGCAAUUAAGACUGCUUUCUCAGAAAUAACAACUCUUGUUUACAUUUUGACACUUCCUGUUUUGAGCACACAUGGACAUUGGGAAUAUUGUGGAUUAAUGGCUGUAUAAAUCAGUGCCGACAUUGGAGGUUGAUUGUAUUUAACAUUCAGUGAACUUCUUUUGUAAAGGUUUUUGUUUUUAUUUUCCUUUGGGAGGGAUGAUGAAGGCUCUUUCAGUUACCUCCAAGUAUAUGAAAGCAAAUUGUCCACUUGUAUGGUAAAGUUAAAAAACUUUUCUAUUAUCAGUUGUGUAUCUGACUCACUCAAAAAUAUGUAUUUUUCUAAUUCAUGGUGAUAUACCAUUAGUCCUAAUUGAAGAACUAGUAUUUAAAUUUACUAUUUAUAAGGUUGAUACAUCAAAGCUUAUUUAUUUUUAAAUUUUUAUUUAAAAGCAUACUCAGUUUUAAUUAUAUGCACCCCUCAGAUUGUGGGUAAAGAAGGCAUUAAAUUUUAUGUUUGUCUCCUUUCCCUCUUUAUUUGUAGAUUUUAAAAUGAUAUAACUGAAAAUGUUUGGGUAGUAUGUAUGGUUUAAAUGCUUUUUUUCCUCAUAGUUUAGUAUAUUGACUUUGUACUGUGAAUUUUUAUUUUUCUUAUUUCAUGGUAAUCUCAGGAUUUUCAGGGAGAGAAAAAACUCAACUUCACUUAGGAGACAAAUUCUCACACAAAACUCAGUCUUCUGUGGGGCACAGUGGCACACGCCUGUAAUCCCAGCAGCUCAGGAGGCUGAGGCAGGAGGAUCAUUAGUUCAAAGCCAGUUUCUACAGUUUAGUGAGGCUCUAAGCAACUUAGUGAGACCCUGUCAAAAAUUUUAAAAAAAGGGCUAGGGAUGUGGCUCAGUGGUUAAGCACCUCUGGGUCCAAUCCCUGGUAUCAAAAAAACUCAGUCUCCUUUACAUACACUCCUUAAAAAAAAGGUUUCUUGAUAGCUCCUCCCCCAACCCCUGUUUAAAGAACAUGUACCACAGAACAUAAAUGUGAUGUUAAAAACAAAAUAAGAACAAGAUUUUAAGAUUUUAUAAGGUCAGUAAUUGUCAUCAAUAUGAAUGUAAGUAUUUUUAAUUUUGAGAUUGAUAUUUCCAUUCAUUCUACCUGAACAAACCUUUCCUGUUUCAAAUUAAAUUUCUCAAAGAGCAGAUUUAUUCUGAUUUUAUUUGAAAAGCCUCCUAGCUGGACAUUAUGUAUUAGCUCUGGAGUUAUAAACUUCUGCAAAAUAUUUUUGAGUUUGCAGGCCAGCUGGUCUGUGUGGCAGCUAUGCAACUCUGCCACAGACAGUACUUGAAUGAAGGGCCAUGGCUGGAUUGUUUUUAGUUUAACCCUACAUUAAACAAUAGUUUUCUUACCUUAAGGUGCUGAUAUCUGUAUGUAUAAGUUAUUUGUCAUUGGAGUUAUGAGUUGUGCCUAUAAGUUAAAACUGUGUUGAUUGCAUUAUGAAAUGAUCAGUAUUUCAAUUGGGAAAAUAUUUUAAAGUCUAGAUAAUUUUAGGGUUUUGUAUAUUGAAAAAAUAGUGGCCAGUUUUCAAGUUUCUUAAAAAGAGGAUAAUGGCUUAGCAAGUUUAACAGUGAUGCCAAUUUAUUGGAACUUGCUAUUAGAGCAUCUUCUAUUUAUUGCCUUACAGAGAAAUUUACAAUUUAACUUUUUCUCGUGAAUUAAGAUCUGUAAAUCUGAGUGGAAAUUCUCUAUAUAAGUAUGCAUUUAUUUAUUUUAUUGAUUAAUGUCACAAAAUCAUGGUAGUAAAUCUCAUUGCUAUUUUAAUAACCUAUUUAUGUAAAUUUUAAAAAAUCUCAUAUUGUACUGAGUACAGUGACACAUGUCUGUAAUCCCAGGUACUUGAGAUGCUGAGGCAGGAGUAUGGUGAAUUUGAUCCCAUCAGGGACAACAUGGUGAGAACCUAUCUCAAAAACCAAACCAAACAAAACUCAUUCUGAAAUUCUUAAUUAGUCUUAGUUUGGGUAUUAGAUUGCCAUGACUAAAUUAUAAUUUAUCCCUGUAGAAUAUUUAUUUUUUAACUUUGCUAACAUCUACAAUAAACCAGUUUUAUGGAUGAUAAUUUCUUAUUGUAAAACAAUAACAAAUAUAGGGCAUUCAUUGUAUAGAGAAUCAAGUCAGUUAACAAAUUAUCCUACUGUUAUAGUCUUAAAACUUAUCUUGAUAAAGAGAAGUUUAAUCACUGUACUUACCUUACAAGAUGGAAUGAUCUGUGUUAAGUCUGAUUGAUGUAAAGGUGUUGCAAAAAAUUUAUUUUAUAAAUCUUGAAGGAGAUGUGAUUAAAAGCCUUUUCUUUUCUUUUCUUGACUUUUCCUCCUAAACACUUACAUCUUAGCAUGUGAUCAACAUGAUGGCUUCAAAGCCUAAUUGUUGGUAAAUGACUGAGGCACCGAUAAAAAUAUUAAUAUCCAUUGUUUACCAGCAUAUUAUUUUAAAAAGACGCAACCAUGUAUACUACCGCUUGAAGAAGUUGUUGACAAAAAAAGCAAUAUCUGUCAUAUGUAAAUUUUCUUGUUCUAAAGAAAGCAGUUAUGUUCUAUAGAUAUAAAUUAUGUAAAUAAAAGUUAUUUUAUAUCGUUUGUGUUGUAUUCUUUUCAAACAGAAAGAUCUUUAUUUCAGUUAACUGAAACUAGUUGCUGUUUUCAAGUUUUUUUUCCAUAAAAAUGAAGUAUAGCUGAAAGAAUAAAUUUUUAUUUUUAUAUGC
rnacentral:lncRNA from 1 species